rnacentral:rRNA from 1 species
ACGAACGCUGGCGGCAGGCCUAACACAUGCAAGUCGAGCGCCCCGCAAGGGGAGCGGCGCACGGGUGCGUAACACGUGGGAACCUACCCUUUGGUACGGAAUAACCCAGGGAAACUUGGGCUAAUACCGUAUGCGCUCUCGGGACGUGGAGUUCCGAGAGGAAAGAUUUAUUGCCGGAGGAUGGGCCCGCGCCGGAUUAGCUAGUUGGCGAGGUAACGGCUCACCAAGGCUACGAUCCGUAGCUGGUCUGAGAGGAUGAUCAGCCACACUGGGACUGAGACACGGCCCAGACUCCUACGGGAGGCAGCAGUGGGGAAUAUUGGACAAUGGGGGCAACCCUGAUCCAGCCAUGCCGCGUGAGUGAUGAAGGCCUUAGGGUUGUAAAGCUCUUUCGCCGGGGAAGAUAAUGACGGUACCCGGAGAAGAAGCCUCGGCUAACUCCGU